GUGCGCCUUGAAUUAAUUCAGUCGUGUUCAAAUGAUCACUAUACGUUUGUCAUGACAUCUCUCUGCUUUAGGGAUGCAGGAUAU